CAGAGAUUAGCCCAGCACCGAAGCCCACUGUCGUUUGACAGCAGGGCAAUGUGGUGUUCAGGCAGGCACCUGGGGUCGUUCGGUUACUCUAAGUCCAUCUUUGAAAGUGGCUCUAACAUUGUCCAGAGCGGGUGGAAGACCCUUACGAGUAGCCUUUAGUUAUGUGAACGGUCCUCAGAUGUGUUUGUCUUGGAGUCGGAUUGCUUGGGAAUGCAGUCCAAAGUGGGUGGUAAACUCCAUCCAAGGCUAAAUACCUGCACGAGUCCGAUAGUAAACAAGUACCGUGAGGGAAAGUUGAAAAGUACUCUGAAGAGAGAGUAAAUAGUACGUGAAGCCGCUUGUAGAGAAGCUGGUGGAGUCCAGCUGCAUACUGUGUGGAUUAAGCUGGUGUGACCAUUGUCUGUACGCGUCUUGUCGGGUGUGCUUGGAAAGAGCGCGGCGGGUCCUCCGUCUCAUGUUCUGUCCGGGUUGAUAGUGUGUUGCCUGACUAGUAUAAAACGCGUUCACACCAGUGUACUUCUGCAUGGUAGGCAUCACGAUCGAUAAUGCUGUUGGUAUGCGAUAGUCAAACCCAGUGUUAGCAGGCCUCGAAGUUUGCUUCAUUGGGGAUGGCAGGUUGUAUUGCUGUGGCUUGCUGCAGUAGUAUGUAUUAAGGUUGCGGCCGGCCGACUAUCGUGUUAUACAUGUUACCAUACAGUCUAUCGGGUAUAUUGAAAGCUGGCGAGUUUGGUUCUGUUUAUGGUAGUUGGCCGUGCGGUGUUUCGUGUCAAAGCGGGCAUUGUGUGGUGAGCGGCUGUUUGCGGUUCCAUUCCG
rnacentral:rRNA from 1 species